ACGGCUCCCCAAGGGGAGGAUACAUAGCCGACCUGGAAGGGUGAUCGGCCCCACUGGGACUGAGACACGGCCCAGAUUCCUACGGGAGGCAGCAGUAGGGAUUUUCGGCAAUGGGGGCAACCCUGACCGAGCAACGCCGCGUGAGUGAAGAAGGUUUUCGGAUCGUAAAGCUCUGUUGUAAGAGAAGAACGAGUGUGAGAGUGGAAAGUUCACACUGUGACGGUAACUUACCAGAAAGGGACGGCUAACUACGUGCCAGCAGCCGCGGUAAUACGUAGGUCCCGAGCGUUAUCCGGAUUUAUUGGGCGUAAAGCGAGCGCAGGCGGUUAGAUAAGUCUGAAGUUAAAGGCUGUGGCUUAACCAUAGUACGCUUUGGAAACUGUUUAACUUGAGUGCAGAAGGGGAGAGUGGAAUUCCAUGUGUAGCGGUGAAAUGCGUAGAUAUAUGGAGGAACACCGGUGGCGAAAGCGGCUCUCUGGUCUGUAACUGACGCUGAGGCUCGAAAGCGUGGGGAGCAAACAGGAUUAGAUACCCUGGUAGUCCACGCCGUAAACGAUGAGUGCUAGGUGUUGGGUCCUUUCCGGGACUCAGUGCCGCAGCUAACGCAUUAAGCACUGGUCUUGCAAUUCAGUUGGGCACUCUAGCGAGACUGCCGGUUAUGACCUGGGCUACACACGUGCU
rnacentral:rRNA from 1 species